rnacentral:lncRNA from 1 species
GUCCCCUCCACCCCGUCGCGAGCGUCGCGAUCCCGUCGAGCUUCGGCGAGAAUCCGGCUCCGAUGAUCCCGCAGACGCUGCAGUACUGAUGGCCGCAGAGAUUUGAAUUACCGUUUUGCCCUAGGUCACACAUGAACGUCGAGCAGUAGAAUCUCAGCAGCUCGUUCCCGUCGGCGACGCACCGUUCGUCGUCCCACCGUCUUCCUCCUCCUCCUCCUCCGCCGCUGCUGCUGGUACGAGUGGCUUUGGCCUUGACGAACUCUCGAUACUCCUCGAAUCUCGCGAGGAUCUUGGGGCUGUUGUGGAUCUUCAGGAUCCGAUGGAUCGAUGGGGCUUUGUUGUUCAAAUCGGGCCAGCCCGAUUUGAAUAUGAUUUUGACGAUGUUCGUGCUCGAUUCGCCGUCGGUUAGCUCCGUCACGGCGUGUUUGACGGCGAUGUGAUGCUCGAGGAGGUUGGUUUUGGGGAAGAUCUCUCCGCACGUCGUGCAAGAGAAGAUCUCCUCGGACUCGUCCGAUAACCCGUUUUCGACACGGGUUUCCGGGUCGGGUUGAACGAGAGUGACGAGAGAGUUGUGAGACGAUCUAGCGGAAGUAAGAGUCGUUAACUGACCGUUAGGAUGCGUUUGGCUGCGGGGUUUAGAUAUCCUCGUCGUGGAUGAUAAAAACCGUUUUAGAGACAACCAAGAAGAUGAUAAACCGGAACCUGAACCGGAAGAAACCGUUCUAAGCUUCUUCUUCUUCCUCUUUUUAUGUUUACAGUCACUUCCUUUGGGGAAGAAGAAACAGCCGACAAAGAGAAAGAAGAGAGAGAAGAAAUGCUGACGUAACAACGACCCAAGUUUUCGCGCCGCCAUUCACGAGAGAGAGAGAGAGAUUAGGUUUAGUGUUUUGCAGUUUCUACCAUUGGAGAGAGGUGUAAAGAAGAGAAAUGAUGAAGAGAAGAGGAGAAAGGAGUGUAAAAAGGUUGUAUGAAGACAAGAGAGUUACUAAAGGUAGAAGUAGAAGAAGAAGAGUAGGUGCCACGCUAUUUCAUGUCGUUUUUUCUUUUUGCUUUUUCUUAUAUUUGCUAGAAUAUUUGUCUCAUCUUUUUUAGUUUUACUAUUAUUUUUGUAUGUUUUAUAUGAAUCUUAUGAUGCAUUGGUUAGUGUGUGCAUACGAAUGAGUGUACAUUGUUUUCUUCUUUCGCUGGUUUUAUAAAAUAUGCCAUGAUUUAUCAUGAUCAUCUUAGUUUUGCAGUAACGUGGCUAAUUAAGUCGAUCGAAUUAUACAUACAAUUUUGAAUGAAUGUUUUUGAUUUGAUGAAAAAGUUAAAACUAAAUACUGAAUACAAUUUUAUUUGAAAAUUGAAUUAAAAAAUUGGUGUGUUUCAUGAACAAAAUUCGAGAGGAAAAUGUUUUUUUCACUGUUAUUUUCAUUAUGAAUUUUUUUUUCAUUCACAUAUAUACACAUUGAUAUAAAAAAUUACUGAUAUCUGGAUAAAUUAGUGUUUUACUUAUUCUGAUACUACAAUUAUUUUAUACAUUCUGUUGAUUAAGAUCUAUUUUCCAUUUUCUCAGUUAUGAAUUAUCUGUACAAAAUUAAGUUUAUAUUCUUGUAUUUGUGUACAGUUAAUGUAAUCACAAAAGCUAAACUCGAAAUUUUGAGGAGGAAUCCAAGGCAACCGAAUUGUUUUAUGAAUAUAAAUAUCUGGUUACAAACUUUGUUGUUUAGGAUAUGAACGGAGACAGAGGAACACGUGCACAUGUUUCAUUUCUAAUCUAGGCUCAUCAGUGCAUCUGUUUACUUAGAUCCAUGCACUGAUGCAUAUAUCUAUCCAUGCAUAUGACCGAAACUAAUUAGUAAGGAAAAAAAUAAAUACAGUAUAUUUUCUUUUCGUUUGGCAAAUAAAUAAAGUAUAGUAUCUUAUUUAUAAAUGUAUCAUGUAUGUAUUAAUUUACGGCUAAUUCUGUGAUUAUACAAAACAUGUGAAAAUAUAGGUUGAGGUUUUGGCUUUCAUAGAAUAAAAAACAAAUUGACCAAGUCAUAUCAAGUGGUAAUAAAAAAAAGUUAUAUCAAUUAGUAGUAUAUAACUAACUGAAAUUUUAGAAUGUAAAUAUCACCAUCUUUUUGUUUUGUCAUAAUCAAUCUUUGUUUUUGCCGCACCGUGUUCUCUGCUUUAGGGCAUCUCCAAUAAAACUUUAUUCUUUUAUUUAUAAUUUAUACAAAAAUAGAGUAAUUCUAUUUUUGUAUAAAUUAUAGGGAAAAAAUAGAGUCCUUUUGAAAAUGAUCUUAUUAGAGACUUAAAUUUUAUUAAUUUUCAGAUACUAAAAACAGUACGAAACAUGAUACCUUUUUCAUCAUUAUUAUCAAAUGUAAAUAACGGUUACCCUCUGUAAUUUUAUAAUUUGCGGGUAUUACGAAGAAAACCAAUCAACCAUUUACCGGCAACAUUUUGAUGGAAGUUGUCGGAAGUAGAGGCUUAAACAUGGCAUGUAAAUUAUUGAUCAAUUGAAAUAACACAUGGAGAAAAAUUGAGUUCUCUUGUUUUAUUUUCCGUCUAAUUCUUCGAUUUUAUUAAUCAAACAAAUUCAUCGUUAGUUACAAACAUUAGCAGAUUCAAACUGAGCCCUCUUGAUUUAAGAUGAUAACAUCAUUCAUUAUAUUACUGCAUGACAAUUUCCGAUCAAUGAAAGAAAGUUUCAAAGGCUAAAUGGUAAAUGCUAUCCUAUUAUAGCACAUGAGUCAGAGGUUCGAUUAGCAUCAAAACAUGUUUUUAAUCCCCGAAUCUUGGUCCUUUCCUUUAUUUAGAUUGAUCGUAUGCUUCCGUUAUAUUGUUGGUAGCAAAUAAAGCUUGUUUUUCUUAUUUCUGUACCACCAAAUUAAGAAAGCAUAAUUUGUUUGUUAGCUAACAAAUAUAGAAAUGUAAAAAAGUGAAAGUAGAGUUAGUGAUGAAUGAUUGAAAUGGUCAAUGAUAAUCGAAGAAGUGGGCCACGUGAGAGAACUAUGUACUUUUGGAAGCGGGUCUAAGACUACCUAAGAGCAUCAUUAUUCCUAAGAGACACUUAGGGGCUCUUAAGCUUUUUUUAAUAUUUUUAAGUAUUAAAAGUGAGUUAAGAGACAACAUUAAGAAACUCAAAUAUUUUUAUGCUCCAUUGCAAGGUUCUUAAUUAAGAAUUUUUUUUAAAAAAAAAUAUUAUGGGAAGAAGAUACCAUGAGAUGAAAAUUGUUUAUAAAACAUGAAUCUUUACCACAUACAAUGUCAAUAAUGUUCGAACUUCUACUACAAAGUACCAACAAGAAGACCUACAUGAAUUCAGGUUAAAAAUCUUCAGUGUCCAUCAAUCACUGAACCCCUGAGACUCAAAACGCUGAGAGAGAUGCAUAGGGUCAUAAGAACUUACUUUCCAUUAAGUCCCGGUGAAAGAUCAGCAAGAACAACGUACGUACCAAAUGCCAUAAAGGGAAUGUACAAAUCUGGCGCAUUGAUAUCAUAGAUGGGAGGUUUGUAUGAGAGCCUACCCCCAACUGGUUCAGAGAUUCUAGUCCAAUGUCUCUGAUCGUUUGAAGCAAAACACGAACUAGUUUUACUUAAUGGCUGGUCUGAGAAAGUCUCAAACAGAAAGAGGCAAGAGAAGACAAGCUCACCCGGUGAAGGAAAGGAAACAGAACAACCUUGAGUUUGUUCCUAACAUACUGAUCAUUCACUUGGAAAUAGUAUCGAGGAUCAAAAAAUAACGAGUAAUAUGUUCCAAAUUUCAAGACGAAGACAAACAACUUCAAAAUUGAUGUAAAGAGAGAUGUGGAAUUCACCAAUAAAAUAACUCUUACAUUGCUCUGCACAUACUCAGAGCUUGAUCCUAGAAUCCUCUCCCCAUACGUACAUCUCUCUGCCUAUCAAAACAAAAUCAACACAUCUUUAAUCUCAUAUGAACCAGAAGUAUACCAAACAAUUUGCAUAUCAAUAUUCUUACAAAGACAUAUUUGCUUCUUAGAUUCAACAAAACUCUCUUCUAAAGUCAACCAUUCCCCAUGAGAGACCUCUCCAUGACUCAUAACCCUUUCUUUCUGAACAGAUAUCAAGAACUCGAGAAACCCACAACAGAAACUACUAUCUCGCAUCACUAUAGAUCAAAAGUUCAAAACUUUUUUAAGAUGAGAGUAGAAUCAAUUAAAGCAAGGAAGAAGGAAGAGGAACCAUUCGACAAUGCUGGAAACAUGAACAGCCCAAGUGGGUACAGACAAUGCGUUAAUUGAUUUAACUACCACACCAAACAAACAAAAUAGCAAGGUCCGCUCCACAAUUCACCUUGAGGUUUGAUAAGAAACCAUCAUUACAAAACUCAAAGAUGAUCUAACAAAAGAUAUUUAUUGCUUUGUAAUAAGAGAACAAACCAGUCCGUGCUCUAGCUCAACGCAUGCCCCUGAGAAGAGGAUAUCAAGAGCUUCAGAGAUUGAUCGGGACGGAGGAGGCGUUGGGGAGGAAGGUCGGGACGGAGGAGGCGGGGAAGCGACUGAGACGGCGGCGAUUCCGGUGGUGGAAGUUUCGAAAUCAAACCGAAUCAGUCCUCUCGGGAGAGAAAGAGAGAUGAGAGAGAUGAGAGAAAGACAAAGACAUCGCGUUAUGGUGACACAUGUCACUAAGAGGCGGGCCUUCCAGGCCUUACGCAAGAGGCGAGUCUUGGGCUUCUGUCUUUUCUUAAUUGUUUUUUAAUUGGAUUUAGGAGAAUAGUUGGGUUAAGAGUCAGCGAUAAUGCUGCUCUAAGAACAUUUCAGAACAAAGUUAUGCCUCAUUGCGACAUAUUUAUUCUAGAGAUUCCAAUCAAAGACCAGCCUAACCAAUACAGCUGUAUGCAUAUACCAAAAAUUUGAAAAUUUUGUUUCUUUUCCAACUAAAUCUUAAUACAAAAUUGAAUUUUGCUCAAUAAAAAUGAAGCUCAAAUUGAAAAAUAAGAAAAAGAAGAAUGGGCAUCCAAAACAAUUUAAAUAACCAAAACAAUUUAAAUAACCAAACCAAAUUCAGUGACCAUAAUUACGAUGCGUGAAACUUAACCAUAGCAUGUUUUUUCAAGCUGGGUGCGAAGGAAGUAGUGACUACAAGCCUAAGACCAUCAUUAACCUCAGUCUCUGAAUUAGGAUUCUUAUCUUCACUUAAGAAACGGUUUUUAGUUUUUCUUAGAUUUUAAUUAAAAAAAGUUAAAAACUGUCUAUUAAAUAAGAGAUAUAAAAGUUGUUUCUUAGCUGAAAAAUGUAAAAAAAAAACAAAAAAAUGUCAAAUCAUAAAUUAAGAAUUCUGACUAAAAGUCUGGGUUAAUUAUGCCCAAAUAACAAGUUAUUAUGCCCAGUCUCUAACUGUGGCGCAACGUUGAGAGUUGUGACCAAUUUUCUAAUAUAAAAAAAAAAUUAUGAGUCACAUCGAUCAAAGGAUGAUUUUACAUGUUGAUUUUGUUGUGAUAUGCGGUCUCCAUCAGUUUGCAUCUCAUGGAAUGUAAUAAGCUGGCCAAACCAACAACUUUGAUUCUAAAAUAUUAAAUCACAAAGAACAAAAGGAAAUCUUCUGUUUUUUUUCACUCUUCCAAUUAUUUUCACAGCUACUCUUUCAUUGCUUCCAACAAAUGCAAGAGACAUUUCUUUCAACAUCAACUUUCUAACUAAAGCAGUAAGUAUCAUCUUAAAGUGUUAACAUAAUUACAUUAUUAAACUUCCAUUCACAGUUGUCUACCAUUUUCUUCCCUUAAUCACAGAAAACAAGAAAGAUCAACUAGUCACACAACCUCUCAAAAAAUGCUUGGAUCAUAUUGAAAGACACCACAAAGAUUUGUUUAAUCAUCUUACGCGUUCACACUUCACUAUUACAUCUAAACCAAACCUCACAAAAAUCUCGCGAGUUGUAACAUUAUACUACAAGUCUAUAACACAGACAUGAUCACAUUCACACGCUUACACAGUAUACACUAUCACAAAACAAGGAAGCACAGCCCUUGGAUUAAACACCAGAAGCUCCUCAUCGUCGAUCCUCAACAGGGCCCCACUCUUACUCCCACUCCCUUCCCCAACUAGAGAAUCAUACCCUCCAUCACUCUUGUCCACGUCAUCAUCAGCAAUCAAAUCACACCCGACCCGGCCCGCGACGACCCGGCAAACCAGCAUGGCCCGUUUCACGUUCAUAAACCCGAACUCUUCCUCCACCUCCUCCGAAACCGCCGCGUGUCCCCUCCACCCCGUCGCGAGCGUCGCGAUCCCGUCGAGCUUCGGCGAGAAUCCGGCUCCGAUGAUCCCGCAGACGCUGCAGUACUGAUGGCCGCAGAGAUUUGAAUUACCGUUUUGCCCUAGGUCACACAUGAACGUCGAGCAGUAGAAUCUCAGCAGCUCGUUCCCGUCGGCGACGCACCGUUCGUCGUCCCACCGUCUUCCUCCUCCUCCUCCUCCGCCGCUGCUGCUGGUACGAGUGGCU